GGUAAUGUUUCAUUAUUGUUCACAGAUAUGGAAAACAAAAACAAAAACGUAAGCAUCGUAGACGAAAAUGGGAAUCCUGGUAAGCGACCCUUAAGCAUGCUAAGAAGUUUUGAAGAAGAAGAAACAACACUUGAUUCUGGAAACGCUAAAAAGCAGCAACAAGAGCAACCAUCUGGGACAAUAAAUAAUUAUAUUGUUUUUCCAAAUUGACAAAAAUUAGAAAUUCGUGGCACUAUUUGUGGCUCCACACAAACACAGCAAACUAUUUUUUUAAAGACUGC